rnacentral:rRNA from 1 species
UACGGAGGGUGCAAGCGUUAUCCGGAUUCACUGGGUUUAAAGGGUGCGUAGGUGGGUUGAUAAGUCAGUGGUGAAAUCCCCGAGCUUAACUUGGGAACUGCCAUUGAUACUAUUGAUCUUGAAUACCGUGGAGGUCAGCGGAAUAUGUCAUGUAGCGGUGAAAUGCUUAGAUAUGACAUAGAACACCAAUUGCGAAGGCAGCUGGCUACGCGAAUAAUGACACUGAUGCACGAAAGCGUGGGGAUCAAACAGG